ACUUUACAAUGCUGGCAACAGCGAUAAGGGAACCUCGAGUGCCAGGUUACAAAUCUGGCUGUCGAGAUGCCUAAAAAGCAGUUCAGAGCAAGGGCAGGGAAAGAGGGGGGAAAGGAGAAGAGGGAAAAAGGGAGGAGAGAGGGGGAAAGGGGAGGAGGGGGUCUAAAGGGUCUGUAGCCGGCCGGAUAAGUCUCUUGAGAAAUCUGGCAGCUUAACUGUCAGGCUUUCAGGAGAUACUGUCUGGCUCGAGGCCGGGAGAGGUGAGAGGUACUUCCGGGGUAGGGGUGAAAUCUUGUAAUCCUUGAAGGACCACCAGUGGCGAAGGCGUCUCACCAGAACGGACCUGACGGCAAGGGACGAAAGCUAGGGGCACGAACCGG
rnacentral:rRNA from 1 species